GUGCCAGCAGCAGCGGUAAUACGUAGGGCGCAAGCGUUAUCCGGAAUUAUUGGGCGUAAAGAGCUCGUAGGCGGUCUGUCGCGUCUGCUGUGAAAACCCGAGGCUCAACCUCGGGCCUGCAGUGGGUACGGGCAGACUAGAGUGCGGUAGGGGAGAUUGGAAUUCCUGGUGUAGCGGUGGAAUGCGCAGAUAUCAGGAGGAACACCGAUGGCCGAAGGCAGAUCUCUGGGCCGUAACUGACGCUGAGGAGCGAAAGGUGGGAGCAAACAGGCUUAGAU
rnacentral:rRNA from 1 species